rnacentral:sRNA from 1 species
GUUUCCUCUCCUGGUGUCCCGUCGCGGCUUGGGACCCGGCAAGAUGGGCAAGAAGGGCAAGAAGGAGAAGAAGGGCCGCGGCGCGGAGAAGACGGCCGCCAAGAUGGAGAAGAAGGUGUCUAAGCGCUCGCGGAAGGAGGAGACGUGACUGAGCCCAGUCGAAUGACACUGACUGGAGGAAAGCUGAGCGGGCUGUGGCUCUGUGGCGGGUCCUGGGAACAAGUCUCACGUGUGCCUGCUUGCUUGCCCUAGGAAGACCUGGAAGCGCUCAUAGCCCAUUUCCAGACACUCGAUGCCAAGAGGACUCAGACUGUGGAAAUUCCGUGCUCCCCGCCCUCACCAAGACUUCUUUGUAUAACGAGCUCUAUGUCUACAAUAUCAGAAAGGACACCUGGACCAAAGUUGACAUCCCCAGUCCACCUCCGAGGCGCUGUGCUCACCAGAUCAACAGGCGGUCCUUCGGGUCGGAGUGGACAUCGGAUGGUGGCCUGGAAGAGACAAUUGAUCCUUUUUGGUGGCUUCCAUGAAAGUACACGGGAUUACAUCUACUACAACGACGUGU